rnacentral:rRNA from 1 species
CUUAGCAUGAAGUGAAGCACAUACACCUGCUGAAUUUAAGCAUAUAAGUAAGUGGUGGAAAUUAAACCAAAUGGGAUAUCUUUAGUAAUUGCGAAUGAACAAGGAUAUGCUUAGCUUGACAAAUGGAGCUAUUGGCUUUGAAUUGUAUUUGUGGAAUGUAUUACCAACAGAGGUGCAGGUGCCAGCCUAUUGAAAUAAAGCGUCAAUGAGGGCGAGAAUCCUGUUUGUCAUGUGCAGCCCUUUGUGCACGGUGUAUAUUUGCUGAGUCACACUCCUUGGCAUUGGAAUGCAAAGUGGGUGGUAAGUUUCAUGUAAAGGUAAACAUGCAAUUGAGACUGAUAGCACACAAGUACCAUGAGGGAAAUAUGAAAAGGACUUUGAAAAGAGAAUUAAAUGAGUUUGUAUUUGCGGAACACAAAGUAAACAGACUUGAUUUGCUUGGUGGGAGUGUUGCACUUGCUUGACAAGAGCUUUGGGCUGUGGGUGUAAUGAUUCUUUCUUUGCAUGCCAGUUUCUAUUUGUACAUCUGAUUACCUUUGCACAUGAAUGAUAAGUCUCCUGUGGGGGGUGGAUUGCAUGUGCAUGUAAUGAUUUGUGUUUUGAUAAAUGUGUCUGGUGUAUGUGUGUGUUCCUGUGCUUGGGGAUGCUUCCUUCCUUGGACUUACAAGCCCUGACACACACAUGCUGGCAAAAUGCUUCUGCUUGACCCGUCUUGAAACACGGACCAAGGAGUCUAACAGAUGUGCAAAGUUUGAAGGUGGUAUACCUUUGUGUGCAAUGAAAGUGUCAGCUGGGAUAUGUGCACCAGCACCCAAUUAAUUAGCGGACAGAGGUUUGAGUUGGAGCAUAUCUAUUAGGACCCGAAAGAUGGUGAACUAUGCCUGAACAGAAUGAAUUCAGAGGAAACUCUGAUGGAGGUUCGUAUCGAUACUGACGUGCAAAUCGUUCG